rnacentral:lncRNA from 1 species
GGUUUGCUUCUCUUCUUGGUGAAUUUCAUUAUGCUUUCUUCUUCAGGUGAUACUCCAAAUUUAUAAGCACACUUAGUGCAUUCAUGCAUUCUACAUUUCUACUAUACUCUAAUAUAAUAGUAAUAAUUGUUUUUGAAAUUUNNNNNNNNNNNNNNNNNNNNNNNNNNNNNNNNNNNNNNNNNNNNNNNNNNNNNNNNNGUUUUGUAAUAUCAAUAGAUUUUAUCUGGUUUGGAGAAUUUUUAUGUUGCUACCUUGUUUAGUUAUGUUGAUGUAUGAUUUAGAGUGAAAUUGGUUUUAUUUUUGUUCCUUGAUCCCUCAAUACUAACCAUAUUUUAUAUGUCAUGUUAGGUUAUAACCUUAUCACCACAUUUAAAUGUUGUUCUUACUGCUUGUGUGACUGUAUUUGUCAAACCAGCCCCACCAACUGUAAGUUGUAGCCAUGCUCAUUCUUAAGAUAUAAUUUUUUAAUGGUAAUUUUUUACAGUUAAUUGAUUAGACAUCUAAGAUAACUUUGAAUUUGUUUGUCAAUCUUCUCAAAGCAUCAUUGUUUUGCUAAGUAUUGAAUUCACACUUAGUUAUUUUGUAUAUAUGUUAGUUGAAUUGUUUCUUCUUCUAUGGUUACUGGUGACUAGUUUGUACAAUGAUUCUUUCAUCAAAUUGUUUAGUGUUUUACCAUCGGCUUUUUGGUUUCCAUAGAGACAAUUAUACAAGAGAUGUUCAUGGGUCAUUAAUUUUGCAACUUUCAGAAAUGUUCCUGAGUUCGUAUAUCUAACUGAGAGCGAAUAUGGUUUGAUGCUUGGAGAUGAACUUGUCACUGACCGUGAAAUUAACACAAGCAAAAGAUGGAACAUUGAAUGUGAUGGACCAAUGGAAAGGUAAAGUCUCAACCCCUAUAGGUUAAGUUGUUCCAGAUUUCCCAAAAUCAUGGAUUUUGUGCUCUUAAUUUUUAGAGUUUCCUUUCUUAUAAGCUAUUAAUCAUAAUACUCUUUAUGCUUUCGAACUGCUAUAUUAUGCUCAUCAAGUUAUAUUAUACAUACAUAGUGAUACCUGAUCCAAUGCAGAUUUUUGCUGCANNNNNNNNNNNAUAUCUUCACAAUCCUUCAGAUAACUGUUUCAGGAUCAUAAACAGAUUUGAAAUGCUAAGAAAACUUUGAAAUUUGGCUAAUGUUUAUUUGGUAGAUUAUCUUUCUAAUUAAGAAACUGCAGUGGAGAACUUGAAAAUAUUUGAGGAUUAUCAUUAAGCUUUAGGUGCUUCCUAUAUAUGUUUGUAGCAAUUAGUUUCUUCUUUCCCCUUUUAAUUCUUUGCCAGAUUGAUGUAAAAUAUACAUAAAGGAACUAGAGCNNNNNNNNNNNNNNUUCUACUAGCAAGGUAAGUUAAGUCUCGAUCUCUUUGUAGUUGGUUUGUAUAUUAUGCUGUAGUUGAUACUUUGUAUAAUGCCAUUUGUUUUUGUAUUUGUGACCCUUUGUAGGCUUGCUUUGUUUAAACAUGUGCCUCUGGUUUACAAGUUUGCCUAAAUAACAUAACUUAUGUUUUUAUCUUGCAGCAUUGAGACUUAGCUUGAAUAUAAUUUAUGAUACAUGGUUGUAGUUAGAUUGAACUAAAAUAGCUUGCUUUUAGUUGAUGACAUCUAGUAAGUUGAGUUUAUAACUUAUAUAUAUUUUUUUUCCAUAGGUUCAAGACCAAACGGAUUAUCCAAGUCCACACAUUAAUGAAGAUGGAAGAGAUGAAGAUUAGAAGCUAAUUAUAUCUCAACGAAUUAGCUUAGUUACUUUUCGUCAUGUUUUUUGAUAUUAUUAUGUAAUGUCGUAGUGACGCACUUGAUACUUUGUAAGAAUGACAAAUUUUUAUGUUAAUGUUAUAAAUUUGGUGUUGAUCAAAAUUUGAUUUUCUCCC